rnacentral:rRNA from 1 species
UACGUAGGGUGCAAGCGUUGUCCGGAAUUAUUGGGCGUAAAGAGCUCGUAGGCGGCUUGUCGCGUCGGCUGUGAAAACCCGGGGCUCAACUUCGGGCUUGCAGGCGAUACGGGCAGACUUGAGUGUUUCAGGGGAGACUGGAAUUCCUGGUGUAGCGGUGAAAUGCGCAGAUAUCAGGAGGAACACCGGUGGCGAAGGCGGGUCUCUGGGAAACAACUGACGCUGAGGAACGAAAGCGUGGGUAGCAAACAGG